rnacentral:rRNA from 1 species
ACGCUCGACACCAGGCAGCAGUGGGGAAUAUUGCACAAUGGGGGAAACCCGUGAUGCAGCGACGCCGCGUGGAGGAAGAAGGUCUUCGGAUUGUAAACUCCUGUUGUUGGGGAAAAAGAGGAUGGUACCCAACAAGGAAGUGACGGCUAACUACGUGCCCGCAGCCGCGGUAAUCUGAGCGGGCUGGCAAGGC